rnacentral:sRNA from 1 species
UAUUCUGCCCUACAGGGAAGGAUGAGAAGCUUCGACUAAGGUUCGACUCGAGCGAAGCGAGAGAACGUUGCCGCAGGCAACGGCCCGAAG